rnacentral:rRNA from 1 species
AUUGAACGCUGGCGGCAGGCCUAACACAUGCAAGUCGAACGGUAACAGGAAGCAGCUUGCUGCUUUGCUGACGAGUGGCGGACGGGUGAGUAAUGUCUGGGAAACUGCCUGAUGGAGGGGGAUAACUACUGGAAACGGUAGCUAAUACCGCAUAACGUCGCAAGACCAAAGAGGGGGACCUUAGGGCCUCUUGCCAUCGGAUGUGCCCAGAUGGGAUUAGCUAGUAGGUGGGGUAACGGCUCACCUAGGCGACGAUCCCUAGCUGGUCUGAGAGGAUGACCAGCCACACUGGAACUGAGACACGGUCCAGACUCCGACGGGAGGCAGCAGUGGGGAAUAUUGCACAAUGGGCGCAAGCCUGAUGCAGCCAUGCCGCGUGUAUGAAGAAGGCCUUCGGGUUGUAAAGUACUUUCAGCGGGGAGGAAGGGAGUAAAGUUAAUACCUUUGCUCAUUGACGUUACCCGCAGAAGAAGCACCGGCUAACUCCGUG